UGCCAGCCGCCGCGGUAAUACGUAGGGGGCAAGCGUUGUCCGGAUUUACUGGGUGUAAAGGGCGCGUAGGCGGGUUUGUAAGUCAGAGGUGAAAUCCUGCGGCUCAACCGUAGAACUGCCUUUGAAACUACAAACCUUGAGUUUGGAAGAGAGAGAUGGAAUUCCAGGUGUAGUGGUGAAAUACGUAGAUAUCUGGAAGAACACCAGUGGCGAAGGCGGGUAACUGGACGAGUACUGACGCUGAGGCACGAAAGCGUGGGGAGCAAACCGGAUUAGAUA
rnacentral:rRNA from 1 species